UGGGGAAUAUUGGGCAAUGGGCGCAAGCCUGACCCAGCAACGCCGCGUGAAGGAAGAAGGCUUUCGGGUUGUAAACUUCUUUUAUCGGGGACGAAAAAAAUGACGGUACCUGAUGAAUAAGCCACGGCUAACUACGUGCCAGCAGCCGCGGUAAUACGUAGGUGGCAAGCGUUAUCCGGAUUUACUGGGUGUAAAGGGCGUGUAGGCGGGACUGCAAGUCAGAUGUGAAAACUAUGGGCUCAACCCAUAGCCUGCAUUUGAAACUGUGGUUCUUGAGUGAUGGAGAGGCAAUCGGAAUUCCGUGUGUAGCGGUGAAAUGCGUAGAUAUACGGAGGAACACCAGUGGCGAAGGCGGAUUGCUGGACAUUAACUGACGCUGAGGCGCGAAAGCGUGGGGAGCAAACAGG
rnacentral:rRNA from 1 species